rnacentral:rRNA from 1 species
UACGGAGGGGGCUAGCGUUGUUCGGAAUUACUGGGCGUAAAGCGUACGUAGGCGGCUUUGUAAGUUAGAGGUGAAAGCCCAGGGCUCAACCCUGGAACUGCCUUUAAGACUGCAGAGCUUGAAUCGCGGAGAGGUGAGUGGAAUUCCGAGUGUAGAGGUGAAAUUCGUAGAUAUUCGGAAGAACACCAGUGGCGAAGGCGGCUCACUGGACGCGUAUUGACGCUGAGGUACGAAAGCGUGGGGAGCAAACAGG